GACGAACGCUGGCGGCGUGCCUAACACAUGCAAGUCGAACGAACAGGCGAGGAGCUUGCGCCUCUGACGUUAGCGGCGGACGGGUGCGUCACACGUGUAUAACCUACCUAUCAGACUGGGAUAACUUCGGGAAACCGGAGCUAAUACCGGAUAAUAUAUUGAACCGCAUUGUUCACUAGUGAAAUACGGUUUUGCUGUCACUUAUAGAUGGAUCCGCGGCGCAUGAGCUAGUGGGUAAGGUAACGGCUUACCAAGGCUACGAUGCGUAGCCGACCUCAGCGGGUGGUCGGCUAGCCUGGAUGUGAGGCACGGUCGAGACUCCUACGGUAAGACGCAGUCGGGAAUCCUCCGCAAUGGAGGAGAGGCUGACGGAGCAACGCGGCGGAAGGGCUGAAGGUGUACGGCUGGGAAAGCGAUGUUAGUAGGGGAGAACAAAUGUGCAAGUAACCGUGCACGUAUUGACGGUACCGGGUCAAUAAGCCACGGCUAACUACGUG
rnacentral:rRNA from 1 species